AUAUAUUUUAUUAGUUCUAUACUAUAGGUACAAUAUAUCCACAUGAACAUUUUAAACUUUACUAGGGUCAUACAUGCCAAUAGUAUUGAAGUAAAACUGUUUAUGGCCUACUUUUACUAUAUUUAAAAGACAUAAUUAAAGGCACUGACAAGGAUGUUUAAGAGAAGAAUGUAUCUGUUAUUUAUUAGUGUUUUGAUGGUAGCUGCAUGGGAUGAUUAUUUCGAUAGUAUACUUAGUGCUCCGCAACCUUUAUCUAUAAUUGAUUUCAUAGAAAUUACACAUUUAGUGGAUGAUUAUUUGUAUAAGAAAACGGGCGACAUGGAAGUACCUUUAUUAAAGUACACUCCGGCACAGUACAAACAGUCAACCAUGGCUGGGAUUACGGAAAGAAUUACAAAUUGAAUGUGACUCUAUCAAGUCAUCGAAAACGUUCGAAGCGCUGCAUUGUAUCAAUAUGGUCAAAAUCAAACUAUACAAUGGAGUUUAAGUGUUUUGGAGGUGCAUGGUAUAUCUAAGUAUUGUAACUGAAAACUGAAGUCAGCAUAAUAAUGAAAAAACAUACAUUGAUUUAAUAUUGAAGCACAAUAAUAAUUAAAUU